UAACAAAAUUUAACCAUCUUUUUGAAAAACAAAAAUUAAACAAUUUAUAAGUAAAAAAAAACCCAAAACAAGAAACGCACAUAAUUAAGCAGCGCACAAUUAAAUUGCUUAUUGCUUAUUCAACCCUCAACCGCCGCUACACAUCUGCACCACCGUUCUGUUGCACCGACCGCCAUCUGACUGCUUCGCAACCUCCGGUGGGCGCCAGCUUCCAAAUUCUGAGAAUAAAAUCGAAAUUAAUCAGUUACUGAAAGAAAGAGGUUUGGAGUAGAAGACAUGGUUGAAACCGUACCCAAGCAGGCUGUAAGGAGUAAGACAGAGAAAGAGGGGGAAAAGAAAAAUGAAGUGAGUGAAAUAAUAUUGAAUUUGCAGAUGAUUCGCAGUCUUUUCCAGGUUCAAAAAUGCAUCUAGAUCAAUGGUCUUUUCUCGACAAUGCCACUAACUGAACGUUGAUGAUGGUCUACCAAGGUCUUGAUGUCAGCUCCUCAAAGCCCUCACCUAGUGAUAUAAAGGUGCCUUUGAUUUAGUUUUUUCCGAAGAAUUUAUUGUUGGUUGUAUUCAGAAUUUCAGAUACUGAAGCUCCUCCAGUUGUGCAAACAGUUAAGUAAAAUCACUCCACCACUGAAUCUUAAACUUGUAUUUCAACUGUAAGCUUUUGAAAAGUACAAUAUAUGCAAUGGGACAUGGUAAAAAGUGAGGUUUGCCUUACUUUCAUCCCACAUCCUAGAUUUUACCACUCAACACUCAGUGUGCAGUUGUCUGAGUAUAUUAGUGGUUUCACUCAUUAAAAUGUUAAGUGAUAACAGCUAAUAGUCAUUUAAGUUAACUCAAAAUAGAUCACAAGUUCUACUUCGCAUCCUUGAGGCUCAAAUUUCAGCUGAUGGGACGCUAAGAUUUCAGUAUUUGUGUUUUUUCUAUAAUGUGUAUGGCAAAUUUUGCCACCAAGUUACGGUGUCUCUUGGCCUCUCUUUAUUGGGUGCAGUAGCAUUUCUUUUGCUGGUAAUUCUCACUGCUUCAAAGCUCCAUAAAACAGCCUAAUAAUAUUGUCUACUUAACUUUGUGGUUAGACCUUGGGGCUGUUGGCAAUGACAAUGGAAAAAAAGUAGCUUCCUUUUAUUUCUGAUUUACUUCCUGAGUGUGAUUUUUCAGCUGCUGAAAAUGUGCAAAGAUUAUUGUCUGUGUUUGUCUGGCGAUAUCCUAAGUUUGGAAUAAAAAAAGACUUCAACUUCUUUUUUUAAAUUGUAUCCCUUAAGAACCGUACAGGCACCUUUAGUUGCUAGCUUAUUCUAUAUAUAUAUAUAUAUAGCUUAAUCUAUAUAUACAUGGUUUCCUUUAGUCAUCAAUUUACGUCGUGAGCCCCUGUAGCCUUAGAAUUGAUUACGCCCUGAUUUUCUGAUGCUAGGAGGUUUACCUUUUUACUUGCCCAAUAUGUAAGUAAAGUUUGAAAACCCCUUCUUUUUAUUUUUUCAUAGAACUCCCAACAUCCUUUUGGAACCUGAUUGCAACAUCAUUCCAUAGCUUGGGUGUUUCUGUAUGACACUAUGGCAUGUCUGCUCAGUUACUGUCCCGUGUUUAGUUGACAUGUCAUGAGUUAAUGCGCACGGAUACUUGGUGCCAUGUGGCCACUGGCCAGUGUGCCCACUCACUUGUUAGCUUUCCUAUGAUUGUCUCUUGGCCUUCAUAUGCAUCUAAUUGCUAAGUGCAUAUACUAAUAUGUGUACCAGCUUCACCAUCAUGCCAGUAAGUGCUUUGUCGCUGUUCUUAUUAAAUUAAAAUUUAGAAAUACACUAAGAAAAUCCAUUACUUCUUGUAUAUAUAUAAAAUUGGCAGGUAAAAACUGUUGCGUCUUCUAGUUUAUCCUGAUGGAAAGAUCUUGUUAUUACUCUCUUGCAGAUGUAAGAGUUGAUUCAUCAUUUGAUAAUACCUUCCUAUGAGAAUAUAACGUGAAAGACAGAGGGAGCUUCGGGUAUUAGGCUGUUUCGGAUUUUUCUCAUAAUAACGCAUUCAGUAGUUGUGCCUUGUAUUUCUGUUAUUUAUUGUAAGGAAAUUCUAAUUAUUAUUUGUUACGGGGAAAAGAAUUAUUUGGCCGUGCCCAACUACCCAUGUUGAUAUAUAAUCUGUGAUGAAUGACGAGGAUACUGUCACAAAAUAACUAAGUAUCAGAUAUUCAGAUCAACCAAACUGAACAAAAGAUAUUCUGAUCAGCCUUUCAUAUGUUUUAUGAUCUAUACUUUCUUGUGUAACUUAAUGAUGUUUCCUUUGAAAUUACUGGGUAUUGCUGUUGAUGAAAAAUCUUUCACGCAAACUUUAGUUAAUGUUCAUUGUGGUACUGUAUCGCCUAUAUGGUCUGUUGUCAGCCUGUAUUCUGAAUUAUCUAGUACUUGCAUGAUCGAAACUGAUCCUUUACUAUUAAGAUCUUAAAUGACUGUUCUGCUACUUCGUUUUUGUGUGAUUUUUGUUGAACCAGAACCUCUGUAGCUUUUAUGUUCCAUUGUUGAGAAGCUUGGCUGUGAUGUAUUACAUGUUUCAGGGAAUUCCGGAGUGCUGCAAGCUGAAGUUUCUCCAGUCGCGCGAACACCGACCUUUUGCUGCUCCUACUGAUGUGCAGGCUCAUUCAAGAACACCACAUGCUGAUUUUCUUGCUUGAUUAAUGAACCUGUACAAAGAAGGGGAAGGGUAUUGUUGCAUCAUGUUUUUUUCCCUUUCCAUUUUGUAAACGCAUAGAAGUAAUUGUAAAACAUACGUUAUUUUUAAUAUAUUUAAUGCUUGUUUAUGCAAAAAAAAAAAAUUUUUUUUUAAUAAA